ensembl:lncRNA
AUGGGUCAGAAGCUGGAGAGGCUGUCGGAAAAGGAUGAGGAUUCUGAAGGUUCUGAGCGACCGGCGGAGGAUCAGGAGAGCAGAGGUCGACAUGUCGAGCGCUCUGUGACCUCUCAAGGCGUGGACACGCGCGGAGAGGCCGCCGCCGGCGCAGCCGCUUAUGCACGUCCAGUCCCUGAAUGUGGGCGGCCAAUCAGGUCCCUGGGUCAGCGAGCGCAAUUUUUGGAUGUCCCUAGAAAGUGGGUGGGUGGAGACUGGGAGGGCUGGGGAGCCACUGGAGCUGUGGAGGGGUCAGAGAGCGUCCGGAGCCCAGAGGAGACGAGACGCGCUUCAAACACAGAGCAAGGCUCGGCUGUGGCCUCUACCGGGACUACAGCUAUGGAGGAGAAGAAAGCGGAACGUGGCCCUGACCCUCCGACCGGGGCUCCGAUGCAGCCGAGCAGUCCCACCGAGGAGGGGUUUGUUGUGCUUGAGAGGGAUGGAGCUUGGACGUCGUCUGAGGAGGGGAUGAAUAAUGCUUCAGGCGUGUGUGGUGAUGACGCGCCUCCACAACCAUGCGCAAGUUGCCCCCAAGAUGUCGAUAAUGAGGAGGGAAGUGGAGGAAACCGUGUCCAGGCUUCAGUUUACGAGGGGCGGGCGGGUGAAGUGACAGGCAGCAGGUGUCGGCUAAAAGGAGGGAGUCGCACGGGGAGAGGAGGAGCGGAGAGGGAGCGCAUGGAUGAGGAGCGCAUGGAUGAGGAGCGCAUGGAUGAGGAGCGCAUGGAUGAGGAGCGCAUGGAUGAGGAGCGCAUGGAUGAGGAGCGCAUGGAUGAGGAGCGCAUGGAUGAGGAGCGCCUGUCGUCACAGCACAGCAGGGGGCCUGGAGAGAGCGCUGGCCAUGUGGAACACCCAAAUCAGAGCAGGGCAGGAGCUGAGCACCACCAGAGGCGCUUCGCAGAUGCUGUGUAUAAACGGGCAAAAGAAGGAGCCACAGGUGCGAUUGGUCCAAAUGACACGAAGGAGGACGAGGAAGACGGUCCUUCUUUUUCAUUGGAACAAUGCUAUUUGGUGCCCGGCUGUGAUGUAAAGACACACAGCGCAGCCUUGGAGCGGGAGCCGGACCUCGACAGCUUCUCUCCCCUCACAACCCCCCCACCCUGCGUUUGUCGGUCGCCCGCGGCAACACAGCUCCAGGCGGACGCGACCACACGCGCGUCCGCGGAGGAGCCGGCGCCGCGGGAGAAGCCCCGGGUCAAAGGUCCACCUCCACCUGUGCCCAAGAAACCGCGAAAUCCAUUCAUAAAGCUGAAAACCGCGCAGCUGAUGUCCACGGACGAGCGAAGACCGGGCGGAGAUCACGAGCGCUCUGAGGAGAGGGUCAAGAGGAGGCACACCUUUCACUUUAACAGGGCUCUGCAGCGCAGCACGGCCGCUAACCAGGACAUGUGCUCGCUGUGGGACGAUGAGGGCCCCCUCUCGGCGCCGAGCAGCACCCGGCGGCGCUCGCUGGGCCCCUGGGAGCCCCCGUCCCUCACACACAUGGAUGAUCCGUACGGGGACGUGGUGGACUUCCAUUACUGCCGGCGCAUGGCCCGGCUCUGUCCCGACGAGCCGCCCCAGAACCUGGACAUGCUGCAGCGGACGAUUUCCCUCGAGAGGAGGUCCGGUUUCAAGAGCUCGCCUCCCACGCCGGCGAGGAAGCCCUCGAAUCCUCUCGUUCGCGCGUCCCAACCCGCUGCCGCCGAGAGACGAGGGCCCGGCCCCGAGCUGGCGUGGGACAAAGUCCGCUCCGACCCGGGGGUCGGGGAUGUCAGCGAGGUGGGGUCCUACAGGCCGGUGGCCAAGAUCGUCCGGGAGACGAACCAAAUGCAGAAACUCCAGCACCGAGCCAGGUCCGGAGGAGCCAAGGCCCAGGUCAGAGCGGCCGAGCCCGGUCCCAGCGUGAAAGUGUCCCAAAUGAAAAGCGCCUUCGACGUCCCGCAGAAAUCCAAGGAGAGACCGCAGCCGCAAGAGGUCCAGGCUCCAUCAAAGAGAGGUAAGAUGGAGUUUUCAAAGCAUACACACACACACACACACACACACACACACAUAUACACACACACACAUAUACACACACACACACACACACACACACACAUACACACACUAGGGGUUCUGCAUAGUGAUGUCACAGGACAUGCUGGGGUGGGAUGGGACAGGGGGGAGGGUAAGGACCCUAAUACAAAAGAGGCUGCUGGACAUUAA